rnacentral:rRNA from 1 species
UUACCAGACUCCUACGGGAGGCAGCAGUGGGGAAUAUUGCACAAUGGGGGGAACCCUGAUGCAGCGACGCCGCGUGGGUGAAGAAGCGCCUCGGCGCGUAAAGCCCUGUCAGCAGGGAAGAAAAUGACGGUACCUGAAGAAGAAGCCCCGGCUAACUACGUGCCAGCAGCCGCGGUAAUACGUAGGGGGCAAGCGUUGUCCGGAAUCAUUGGGCGUAAAGAGUUCGUAGGUGGCACGUUAAGUCUGGUGUUAAAUGCAGAGGCUCAACCUCUGUUCGGCUCUGGAUACUGGCGAGCUUGAAUGCGGUAGAGGUAAAGGGAAUUCCUGGUGUAGCGGUGAAAUGCGUAGAUAUCAGGAGGAACAUCGGUGGCGUAAGCGCUUU